AGAAAUAUAGGUUGAAUCUGGACUUCUAAUUUAGAUUCGGGUGGUUCGAACCAUUCAUUUCUU
rnacentral:tRNA from 1 species